rnacentral:rRNA from 1 species
GCGAAGUCGCAAGACGAUGUAUACGGACUGACGCCUGCCCGGUGCUGGAAGGUUAAGAGGACCCGUUAACCCGCAAGGGUGAAGCGGAGAAUUUAAGCCCCAGUAAACGGCGGUGGUAACUAUAACCAUCCUAAGGUAGCGAAAUUCCUUGUCGGGUAAGUUCCGACCUGCACGAAUGGCGUAACGACUUCUCAACUGUCUCAACCAUAGACUCGGCGAAAUUGCACUACGAGUAAAGAUGCUCGUUACGCGCGGCAGGACGAAAAGACCCCGGGACCUUCACUACAACUUGGUAUUGAUGUUCGGUACGGUUUGUGUAGGAUAGGUGGGAGACUGUGAAACCUCGACGCCAGUUGGGGCGGAGUCGUUGUUGAAAUACCACUCUGAUCGUAUUGGGCAUCUAACCUCGAACCCUGAAUCGGGUUUAGGGACAGUGCCUGGCGGGUAGUUUAACUGGGGCGGUUGCCUCCUAAAAUGUAACGGAGGCGCCCAAAGGUUCCCUCAACCUGGACGGCAAUCAGGUGGCGAGUGUAAAUGCACAAGGGAGCUUGACUGCGAGACUUACAAGUCAAGCAGGGACGAAAGUCGGGAUUAGUGAUCCGGCACCCCCGAGUGGAAGGGGUGUCGCUCAACGGAUAAAAGGUACCCCGGGGAUAACAGGCUGAUCUUCCCCAAGAGUCCAUAUCGACGGGAUGGUUUGGCACCUCGAUGUCGGCUCGUCGCAUCCUGGGGCUGGAGCAGGUCCCAAGGGUUGGGCUGUUCGCCCAUUAAAGCGGCACGCGAGCUGGGUUUAGAACGUCGUGAGACAGUUCGGUCUCUAUCCGCCGCGCGCGUCAGAAACUUGAGGAAACCUGUCCCUAGUACGAGAGGACCGGGACGGACGAACCUCUGGUGCACCAGUUGUCCCGCCAGGGGCACCGCUGGAUAGCCACGUUCGGUCAGGAUAACCGCUGAAAGCAUCUAAGCGGGAAACCUUCUCCAAGAUCAGGUUUCUCACCCACUUGGUGGGAUAAGGCCCCCCGCAGAACACGGGUUCAAUAGGUCAGACCUGGAAGCUCAGUAAUGGGUGUAGGGAACUGGUGCUAACCGGCCGAAAACUUACAACA